rnacentral:rRNA from 1 species
UUCCGGUUGAUCCUGCCGGAGGCCAUUGCUAUCGGGGUCCGAUUUAGCCAUGCUAGUCGAACGAGUUGAGACUCGUGGCGACCAGCUCAGUAACACGUGGCCAACCCACCCUGUAGACCGGAAUAGUCUCGGGAAACUGAGGGCAAUACCGGAUAGGCGAUCCGCGCUGGGAUGCGGGAUCGCCGAAAGGUGAGCCGCUACAGGACGGGGCUGCGGCCGAUUAGGUAGACGGUGGGGUAACGGCCCACCGUGCCAGUAAUCGGUACGGGUCAUGAGAGUGAGAGCCCGGAGACGGACUCUGAGACAAGAGUCCGGGCCCUACGGGGCGCAGCAGGCGCGAAACCUUUACACUGCACGCGAGUGCGAUAAGGGGACCCCGAGUGCGGAGGCAUAGUGCCUUCGCUUUUCUGGACUGUAGGGACGUCCAGGAAGAAGGGCUGGGCAAGACCGGUGCCAGCCGCCGCGGUAAUACCGGCAGCCCGAGUGAUGGCCGAUAUUAUUGGGCCUAAAGCGUCCGUAGCUGGCCGCGUACGUCCGUCGGGAAAUCCACGCGCUCAACGCGUGGGCGACCGACGGAGCCGGCGCGGCUUGGGACCGGAAGGCGCGACGGGUACGUCCGGGGUAGGAGUGAAAUCCUAUAAUCCCGGACGGACCGCCGAUGGCGAAAGCACGUCGCGAGGACGGCUCCGACAGUGAGGGACGAAAGCUGGGGUCUCGAACCGGAUUAGAUACCCGGGUAGUCCCAGCCGUAAACGAUGCCUGUUAGGUGUGGCACUCGCUACGAGCGGGUGCUGUGCCGUAGGGAAGCCGCUAAACAGGCCGCCUGGGAAGUACGUCCGCAAGGAUGAAACUUAAAGGAAUUGGCGGGGGAGCACUACAACCGGAGGAGCCUGCGGUUUAAUUGGACUCAACGCCGGACAACUCACCAGCUCCGACUGUGGUAAUGACGGUCAGGUUAACGACCUCUGCCACGAGCCACAGAGAGGAGGUGCAUGGCCGCCGUCAGCUCGUACCGUGAGGCGUCCUGUUAAGUCAGGCAACGAGCGAGACCCGCGCUCCUAAUUGCCAGCACCACCGCGAGGUGGGUGGGUACAUUAGGGGGACUGCCGCCGCCAAGGCGGAGGAAGGAGCGGGCAACGGUAGGUCAGUAUGCCCCGAAUGAGCUGGGCAACACGCGGGCUACAAUGGCCGGGACAAUGGGUUCCAACCCCGAGAGGGGACGGUAAUCUCCGAAACCCGGUCGUAGUUCGGAUUGUGGGCUGGAACUCGCCCACAUGAAGCUGGAUUCGGUAGUAAUCGCGUGUCAGAAGCGCGCGGUGAAUACGUCCCUGCUCCUUGCACACACCGCCCGUCAAAGCACCCGAGUGAGGUCCGGAUGAGGCCCGCAAAGCGGGUCGAAUCUGGGCUUUGCAAGGGGGCUUAAGUCGUAACAAGGUAACCGUA